UACGGAGGGUGCAAGCGUUAUCCGGAUUUACUGGGUUUAAAGGGUGCGUAGGUGGGUCUGUAAGUCAGUGGUGAAAUCUCCGGGCUUAACCCGGAAACUGCCAUUGAUACUAUAGAUCUUGAAUAUCCUGGAGGUGAGCGGAAUAUGUCAUGUAGCGGUGAAAAUGCUUAGAUAUACAUAGAACACCAAAUUGCGAAGGCAGCUCACUACGGGAUUAUUGACACUGAGGCACGAAAAGCGUGGGGAUC
rnacentral:rRNA from 1 species